GGGGGUGCAACUUCCUGCUUGGAGCUUCAUUGAAAAAAAUAGGAAUUUAUUCUUAUUUAGGAGUUCUACUUUUGAGAAAUUUAUUUGUUUCCCUGUUUAGUGCAAAUAAGGAAUUUUUUGUUUGUGGGAAUCAUAGUGAUUUGGAACAAGCAAAGGGAAAACAAAAACUUCUAGUUAUUGAAAACUAACUAUUUUCAUUCAAUCAUCAGCAAUAAAUUAAAAAUGAGAGAGUAGAGUCAAAGAUGUAAUGUAAUGAAUUUCUAAUAAUUCUGAAUAAACUUUUUAAGGAGUAAAAUAUAAUUUGGUUAUUACAUUGACUUCUUUAUGGGUGCUUACAGGGCUUUCAGAGUAUCAUUUUUUAAUGUUAUUCAAAAUGAUUGGAAGUGACUGCAUGUCUACUUUUACUGUUUCUAACUAGGUUUUCCUUUGAUUUUGACUAUUCUAUAUCUUAUCCUCCUCUUUGUAAAUUCUCUAACCUGCUUCUUGAAUUAAAUUUAUUUUCCCAAACAAAAGAAAAUCUCCCUUCCACUACUGCCAUAAAGAGGACUGAUUGCCAGUUGGGAAUCAAGUUAGUGCCUUUGUGGUGUCUAAUGAAUUCAUUAUUCUUGUAUUAGAAUAUAUUUAUUGCAGCAACCACAUAGUUAUUUUGUCCUUUUUGUCUCAAGCAUUACUAAACCCUGCCAGGAAACCCCUCCAUAUAGACAUCAUUGUAAAAUGUUUUAAAAAAGUUGGAAAUUAUUCAUUCUGUUUUUAUUUGCUGCACGGCUAUCUGAUUUAUUGAAUGAAUUGUAGUGAACGAGGAGAUGUAGCUAGAGCCAGGUUAUGCCUUUCUAAAGCUAUAAGGGCAGAUCCUAAUGACAUUGCACUUAGAGUUCUUCAUGCAUCUCUUUAUGCUAAGCUUGGAGAUUGCCAAAGAGCUGCUGAGUCUUAUGAACAAAUAUCACGAGUUUGUCCUGAAGAUGUUGAAGUGCUGAAGAUAUCUGCAAAGUUGUAUACUGAAUGUGGUCAGACAGAACGAAGUAUCAGCAUUUUGGAGAACUAUCUUAAGGGUCAUCCAUCUGGAGCUGAUUUUGGUGUUAUUGAUUUGCUUGCUGCUGUACUCAUGGAAACUAAUGCACAUAAUAAUGCUCUUAAACAUAUUGAGCAUGCUCACCAGGUUUACUAUUCAGGAAAGGAAAUGCCUCUACAAUUGAAAAUCAAAGCAGGAAUCUGCCAUGUUCAUCUUGGAAAUAUUGAGAAGUCAGAGAUUAUUUUCAGUGAUCUUGAAUCAGAGAGUGACCCUAAUCAUGCUGGGUUGAUUACGGAUGUAGCUGAUGCAUUUAUGAGUCUUGGGCACUUUCAUGCUGCGUUGAAAUAUUAUCUCAUGUUGGAGUCAAAUGCUGGGAUAGAAAAUGAGGGCUAUAUACAUUUGAAAAUUGCUCAGUGUUACUUAUCCUUGAAAGAUAGAGUGAAAGCAGUUACGUUCUUCUAUAAAGCUUUGCAUGCACUUGAAGAUAAUGUUGAUUGUAGAUCGACUUUGGCAUCGCUUAUCCUUGAAGAUGGUAAAGAAGACGAAGCCAUUUCUUUGCUAUCGCCUCCAGAAAAUUCAGAUUCUGUCAACUCAAGUUCUGAUAAGCAGAAGCAAUGGUGGCUUGACGGGAAAAUAAAACUGAAGCUUUGCCACAUAUAUAGGGCUAAAGGAAUGUUUGAAGACUUUGUCAACACAAUAUUCCCUUUGGUUCGUGAGUCACUUUAUGUCAAAACCCUCCGUCAAAAGGUAAAGAAGAGGCUGACCAUAAGUGUUCUUCGUAAAAGAACCAAAAUUCUGGAUGUUGGGGAAACUGUUGAUGUAUUUGGUGGAGUCAGACCGUUGGCUUCUCGUUCGGAUCUAAUGAAGGCUUCUAGAGCUCGGAAGUUGCUUCAAAAAAGGGAAGAACAGAAAGCUGUGGCAAGGGCUGCUGGUAUUGAUUGGCAUGGUGAUGAUUCAGAAGAUGAGUCUUUGGAAGAAGAAAUCAGAGUGCCCCCCCUUCCUAAUUUUUUGAAGGAUGAGGAGCAUCACAAUCUGAUUAUAGAUUUGUGCAAGGCACUGCAAUCUUUGCAAAGGUAUUGGGAAGCACUAGAGAUUAUUAACCUCACUCGGAAAUUGGUGUACAAGAAACUUCCUGUUGAGAAGAAGGAGGAACUUCAGUCUAUUGCAGCUCAAAUAUCAUACAAGACCACAGAUCCUAAGCAUGGGUUUGACUGUGUAAAAUCAAUCGUUCUGCAGCAUCCAUACAGCCUUGCUGCCUGGAACUGCUAUUACAAAAUAGCUUUAAGGUUGGGAAAGAACUAUUCAAGGCAUGCAAAGUUUCUACGCCAUAUUCGAACCAAACAUGAUGAUUGUGUACCACCUAUAGUCAUAUAUGGGCAUCAGUUUACCAUGGCCAACCAUUACCAAGAUGCUGUGAGAGAAUAUCUUGCAGCUUAUAAACUAUUGCCGGAGAAUCCACUAGUUAAUCUUUGUGUGGGAACAGCCUUUAUCAAUUUAGCCCUUGGAUUUAGACUUCAAAACAAGCAUCAAUGUGUUGCACAAGGCUUAUCAUUCCUCUAUAACAAUUUACGGCUUGCUGAAAACAGUCAGGUAUCUUUGCAGGAGGCAUUAUAUAAUAUUGCGUGUGCAUUUCAUCACGUUGGACUUGUAUCUCUAGCAGCUUCAUAUUAUGAAAAGGUGCUUGAAACAUGUGAAAGGGAUUACCCUAUUCCCAAACUUCUGAAUGAGAAUUCAGAUCUUCUGGAAAACCUGAAGCCAGGUUACUGUGACCUGCGUAGGGAGGCAGCUUAUAAUUUGCAUUUGAUAUACAAAAAAAGUGGGGCUAUUGAUCUUGCUCGCCAGGUCUUGAAAGAUCACUGCACUUGCUGAGUAAAGAUGCUUCAAACUCACAUCAAUUGGCUUGUGAAAAAUGUGAGGUGAUCUAACUUGUAUAUAUAUCUUUUUAGAUUGAUCGCCAACAAAUCCUUGUUUGUUUAAUUUAUUAGUAGAUGAAUUAGAAUUAGUUCCCUGUAUUAUUGUGCCAUUUUACUCGAAUACAAUGCUAUUUGCUACUUAACAUGUUCACUGCUAAUCAAUUGUUUUAUAUAUAUUUGGGAAUCACAAUAUAUGAAUCUCGCACAUUGGUUUUUAUAAAUGGUUUAAAUGAAU
rnacentral:misc_RNA from 1 species